rnacentral:misc_RNA from 1 species
AGAAGUAAAAGUCGUAACAAGGUUUCCGUAGGUGAACCUGCGGAAGGAUCAUUAUUGAAUGAAACACUUCUGGCUUUAUGCUGUUGUGCUGGCCCUUUGGGCAAUGUGCACACGGCUCUGGUCACUUGUUUCUUCUGUUCCACCUGUGCACUGCCUGUAGACACGCUGUGUCUAUGAUAUUUGUUAACACACAACAAUGUUAGUUGGCAUGUUAUAUAUAAUAAUAAAAUAUACAACUUUCAACAACGGAUCUCUUGGCUCUC